CUUUCAUGAUUCUAUGGGUGGUGGUGCGUGGCCGUUCUUAGUUGGUGGAGUGAUUUGUCUGGUUAAUUCCGAUAACGAACGAGACCUUGACCUGCUAAAUAGACGGGUUGACAAUUUGUUGGCCCCUUAUGUCUUCUUAGAGGGACAAUCGACCGUCUAGGUGAUGGAGGCAAAAGGCAAUAACAGGUCUGUGAUGCCCUUAGAUGUUCCGGGCUGCACGCGCGCUACACUGACAGAGACAACGAGUGGUUCCCCUUGUCCGAAAUGACUGGGUAAACUUGUGAAACUUUGUCGUGCUGGGGAUGGAGCUUUGUAAUUUUUGUUCUUCAACGAGGAAUUCCUAGUAAGCGCAAGUCAUCAGCUUGCGUUGACUACGUCCCUGCCCUUUGUACACACCGCCCGUCGCUACUACCGAUUGAAUGGCUUAGUGAGGACUUGGGAGAGUACAUCGGGGAGCCAGCGAUGGCACCCUGACGGCUCAAACUCUUACAAACUUGGUCAUUUAGAGGAAGUAAAAGUCGUAACAAGGUUU
rnacentral:rRNA from 1 species